rnacentral:rRNA from 1 species
UUUUAAGACAUGCAAAUCGUUGUUCCUAUAAAUUUUAUAUUUUAUAUAAAAUAAAAAGAAUAAGGUGUAAAGGUGAGUAAUAUAAAUUAGAUACCUUAUAGACUCCUUAAUUAGGAGAUAAAAAUUUAUUUCUCUAUAUAACUAAAAAUUUUAGAAAUAUAAAGAUACUUAAUAUAUAUAUAUCUCUUCUUUAAAAAGGAAGGCUUAUAUAUUAUAAGGAAAGUAAAGAUAAAUUAGCUAUUUAUUAUAAAAAGGAAAUUUUCUACUAUAAGAUUCGAUUUAUUUUGUUUAAAGGUAGUUGGAAGGGUAAAUGCCUCCCAAGCCGAUGAUCAAAAGCCAUGUUUGAUAGAGCAGAUGGCCACAUUGGGUAUGAAAAGCCCCAAGUAGAAUUAUCUACCAGCAGUCAAGAAUAUUAGUCAAUGCUCGCAAGAGUGAACUAGCUAACUGAAAUCACAGGAUCCACUACGUGUGGUGAAUGUUAUAACGUAAGGGAAAAAAAUGAUAUUACCUUACUAUUAGUGUUGUCCAAAACUGGUGCCAGAAGACUCGGUAAGGCCAGAGACGCAWACGUUAGUCGUCCUAAUCAGGCGUAAAGGGUAAGUAGGCUGCUUUAAAAGUUUAGUAUAAUAUUUUAAUAGCUCUGUUUAAAUAAAAUAAAUAUCAUUUAUUUAACAGUAAAAUAUACAAUGAAUUAAAGCUAGGAUCAAAUUGAGGAUAAUUUAAAUAAUACUUAGUGUAGGGUUUACAUCUGGUGAUACUAAGGGGAGUACUAACGGUGAAAGCUUUUUAUCUAGAAAUGAUUGACGCUGAGGAACGAAGGUGAGAAUAGGAAAUAGGAUUAGAUACCCAGAUACCUCUCACAGUCAACGAUGAAUGGUGGUUGUUAGUUAGUUUUAUUUAACUGAUAACGAUGUUAACACGAUAACCAUUCCGCCUUGCGAGUACGGUUGCAAAACUGAAACCAAAAAAAUUAGUCGGUCUCGAAGCAAACGAAGUGAAGCAUGUUAUUUAAUACGAUAAUACGCGUAAAAUCUUACCAGUCCUUGUAUAUCCAAUCUUUCUAAUUUAAAUUAGAGAGAUUGAGUAGUUUCUUUUUAACAAAUUAAGAAAUUCGUUUA